GCCAGUUCCACGAUAUCGAAAGAACACGUUCGCACAACUUUUACACGACAAACAGCUGAUUUCCGUUCCACUAAAAUCUAUCAGAACGAAAAUUUGCACGAAAAUCAAAGCGAACGAAAACGUAAGCAUUUCAGUGUAAUUUUGCGUUCCACUAUCUUUUUUCUUUCGUACGCAUGCGAACACAAAUGUCAAAAUCAGUCACUUGUGUGUUUGCUAUCGUAUAAUAACAAUUAAGGAAAAUUGUUUUAACAUAAACAUUGCUUGAUUGAAAAUGGAAACAAAAAUCUCGAAAAAAUCAUCAACUACACAGCUGCGGGCACUAGUUGAGUAAAUGGAGGAGAAUCCUGUGUUCGCCAGAUGAAUGCCAAUUUUUGGAAGCAGCAGAAGAAGUUUUAAAUCGGGGCGGAUUUGGGUAGUUCUGCAACCGGGCACCCACCUCUCUUCCAUCAUAUCCAAAAGAGCCCGAAAACUUCCUUCGACACACGAAAGUUGGCCACAAACCUAGAAAAAAUCAUUUUUUAUUAUUUCAAAAAUGUAAAAAUACAAUCAUACUUACUGGUUGUUAGGUACUUCAAAUAAAUUCGAAGCAUCUCUUAAAUUCCUCCGUG